rnacentral:lncRNA from 1 species
GAGUGAGAUCAGGUUGAUUCCUCAGAGCCCAAGGAUCCCAAUGACACGUUAGCCUCACCAACCUCGAGUCACCUCUGCUUCUCCAGAAACACAUGCAACAAGGCUCAAGUCUGGCCACAUGGCACUAAUGGACAACCCAUACAUUUGGAGAGACUCCAAGAAAUCCAUCCCAAGCCCUGAAUGGUCCUGGCCCCGUUCCAGAAUUUUACUAACUUUCCACAAAUUGUGAUUCCAGACACGUUCAUACCUUGGCCCCCAGGAUAAUGGAAGCCACAAAAGAGAGAAAUUAAAAUGUCAGCCCAGCUGGGCCCACAGCGUGGGCCAGUAAUUACAAUGGAACCCUUUGCCUCUUCGAUCACCUGAGUGGAGCACAUCUGUGCCUCCUGCAAAAAAGGAUAACAGAGUAACUCAGAGCAGUUUUUUUCAAAGAUAUCCCUUAACUCAGUGUAAGUAUAGUGCGCCAAUUAACAGUGGCAACUAAGGUUUUAAUAAACCACAGGAAAAUUUUUAAAAGCAAGGUGAGAAGCAGAGAUCAGUCUUCUGAUGAGCUUUGUAAGUCAGUGACCACCGUCAUCACUCAAGACCUAAAUUACCUGAAAUGUGUCACCAAGGCCUCAGCAGCAAAUAAAAGAAAGCGUUGUUAUUCUCUGCCUGAGAAAGGAGUUACGGCCCAACCCUUUCAGCUACAGCAGAUUCUGAAGGACAAGUUGUACGCCACAUCACUAUGGACAGAGAAAAGGAUGUCCACAGCCAAGGGGACACCUGAGAGGUCAUAUACUCUGUGGGAUCAUGAUAGAAGUUCAAAACAUCAGCCUGAGAAAGGUGCUGAUAUCCAGAGUCUGUGAUGUUACAUCCAUGAGUUUUUCCAGCUUUGAAACUGAGCGCUCCAAGAACUUGGAUCCCUUUUCUUCAGCUUCCAUGCCAGGGAAACACUGAGAUGACUUCGGCCAAAAUGACCUUUCUGCCAAUUUAUAUCCUAAUCCAGAGAGGCAGCCAGUUGCGUUACCAAAGGAAACUGAUG